GUGGGGAAUAUUGCACAAUGGGCGCAAGCCUGAUGCAGCCAUGCCGCGUGUAUGAAGAAGGCCUUCGGGUUGUAAAGUACUUUCAGCGGGGAGGAAGGCGAUAAGGUUAAUAACCUUGUCGAUUGACGUUACCCGCAGAAGAAGCACCGGCUAACUCCGUGCCAGCAGCCGCGGUAAUACGGAGGGUGCAAGCGUUAAUCGGAAUUACUGGGCGUAAAGCGCACGCAGGCGGUCUGUCAAGUCGGAUGUGAAAUCCCCGGGCUCAACCUGGGAACUGCAUUCGAAACUGGCAGGCUAGAGUCGUGUAGAGGUGGGUAGAAUUCCAGGUGUAGCGGUGAAAUGCGUAGAGAUCUGGAGGAAUACCGGUGGCGAAGGCGGCCCCCUGGACAAAGACUGACGCUCAGGUGCGAAAGCGUGGGGAGCAAACAGGAUUAGAUACCCUUGUAGUCC
rnacentral:rRNA from 1 species